rnacentral:rRNA from 1 species
UAGGGAAUAUUGGGCAAUGGAGGCAACUCUGACCCAGCCAUGCCGCGUGCAGGAAGAAGGCGCUCAGCGUUGUAAACUGCUUUUGCCAGGGAAGAAUGAGUGGUACGCGUACCAUCAGUGACGGUACCUGGUGAAUAAGCACCGGCUAACUCCGUGCCAGCAGCCGCGGUAAUACGGAGGGUGCAAGCGUUGUCCGGAUUUAUUGGGUUUAAAGGGUGCGUAGGUGGCUUUUUAAGUCUGGGGUGAAAGGCGGUGGCUCAACCACACGCAGUGCCCUGGAUACUGGGAGGCUCGAGUAAGUUUGAGGCCGGUGGAACGGGUGGUGUAGCGGUGAAAUGCAUAGAUACCAUCCAGAACACCGAUUGCGGAGGCAGCCGGCUAAGACUUUACUGACACUGAG